rnacentral:misc_RNA from 1 species
AACGCACCUUGCGCUCCUUGGUAUUCCGAGGAGCAUGCCUGUUUGAGUGUCAUUAAAUUCUCAACCUCACCAGUUUUGUUAUCAAGACUGCGUGCUAGGCUUGGAAGUGGGGGCCUUUGCAGGCAACCCUUAUGGGAUGGUCUGCUCCCCUGAAAUGCAUUAGCAAGUUCAUGACUGGACUCCUGUCUUGGUGUGAUAACUAUCUACGCCAUAGAUUUGGUUUCAGACUUGCUUCUAACUGUCCGUAAGGACAAAUUACUUGACAAACUUGACCUCAAAUCAGGUAGGACUACCCGCUGAACUUAA